rnacentral:lncRNA from 1 species
GCCCUUACAAAAUGAUUGGUGGACGUCGUAUACCACCAAAUAAUUCCUGCAAUUCUACCAAGAAUUAAAUGAGUAUAGUAAUAAGCAGGGUCGAACCGAAGAAAACGGAGUAAUAACUUCAAAUUCCUAAAGAUCUAAAUCGGUGUAGCCACCACGCCUUAAAUUGAGCGAUAAUACUAAUCAACUACGAAAGCAAAUAAAUUAACAAAACUAGCAAAUAGAAUUUAAUCAAAGAAAUGUAACUCGGCUCGAAUAAAUCCAUACUAAUUUAAUAACUCUGAUCAUCGACGCAAAUAUAAAUUAAUCUCUAUCAACCAACCAGUUAAAGGAUACCGUGAACGCAACGGACGUACCCCAAUUCCUACUUACUUUGUCGAUAGACAGCUGUAGACGCCAGACCUGCCUAUUUCCCUUAUUAAAACAUAACCUAGCUGUAGACGCCAGACCUAGAUUUAAUGUUUCAAUAGCAUUAAGAUGAAGGAAUCCAAUUUAGACAAAUUACCCAAGAACGCAAGUAAUAAUUCGUCUACCCAUUUAUUCCUACUACGAAUAUUGUAGCUUUAUUACUAAUUAGCCAUAUUCCAACAAUUAUGGAUUUGAGGAAUCAAUUGACUUUAAUCCAAUUAAAUCUAAGUUGAUCAGACUUAAAUUAAAUCAGAAUUGACCUUAAACACAAGGAAUAAUUAAAUUGAAAUCAAUAUGACUCAAUUAUAUGAACAAUUAGGUCUCACAUAUAUUAAAUCAGUAUUUCAUUAUUCACAAUUAAACUAAAAAUAAUCAAAUUAAAUAAAUAAAACAUAAUAAAGAAAAAUCUACUGAAUUGAAAUAAAUAAAAUUCUAUCACCAGAAUUCCAAAACGUUAAUUGUGGCUCGAUGCAAAACUCUAAGUACGUACGCUUCCAAUUGCUAAAUAAGAAAAUUUGUAAAAGCUAUCAACUAAAUUCCUACGCCGCGAAUCCCCUUUGCUCUAAUGCCAAAAGAUGGCUCAGCCGCCAAAGUCCUAUUACACCAUCCAAAGCCCCCCCCUUUUCUCCAAGGUCAAAUUGCUUUUAUAAAUCCCAACUUCCGCCACAUUAAUUAAUGGGCCGAAACUAAUUAACUAAAGCCCAUUUUCUAAAGUUAAAAUUAUGGCAGAUCCUUAUGAGGAUUAGUAAUUACGUGCGUCUUUUGGAUCUUCACAAAUUGAUAUUAAAAUCCCAUCUUUUUCAUCCUUCUUUCAUUCGACCUCAUCGUCAUCAAAUUCUUCAAUUCCUGCACAAAAAUUCUUUCAUUCGACCUCAUCGCCAUCAAAUUCUUCAAUUCCUGCACAAAAAUUCAUUUAAUUGUGUAUAUUAAAUUCGCACAAAAUAAUUCAAGAAUAUGAACAACUAAAAUACACACAUCAAUGAUCCUUUCUCUAUCUAAUUCAAGAUAUAGGGAUCUAAAAAAUAUUCUCUCCGUCUCGUAAAAGAGUAUCACUUGUGGUUGUGAGAUAACACGAGUUUUAAGAAAUGUUUGGUUGAUAAUAUGUUGAGUGGAGAAAAUGGAUCCACUACUUUUUUAAGAAAAUGAUGAUGUGUGUGGUAGAUAAUGUGUGGAUUCAUGUCCCAAAAGGAAAACGAUAAUUUCUUAUGGGAUGGAUAAAAAUGGAAAAGUUGAUAUUUUUUUAUCGGACAGAGGGAGUAUAUUACAUCCCAUAGUCUCCAC